AUUGAACGCUAGCGGGAGGCUUUACACAUGCAAGUCGAGCGAGUGGCGGACGGGUGAGUAAUGUCUGGGAACCUGCCCGAUGGCGGGGGAUAACUACUGGAAACGGUAGCUAAUACCGCAUACCAUCAGAUGCGCCCAGAUGGGAUUAGCUAGUAGGUGGGGUAAUGGCUCACCCAGGCGACGAUCCCUAGCUGGUCUGAGAGGAUGACCAGCCACACUGGAACUGAGACACGGCCCAGACUCCUACGGGAGGCAGCAGUGGGGAAUAUUGCACAAUGGGCGAAAGCCUGAUGCAGCCAUGCCGCGUGUAUGAAGAAGGCCUUCGGGUUGUAAAGCACUUUCAGCGGGGAGGCGUUACUCGCAGAAGAAGCACCGGCUAACUCCGUGCCAGCAGCCGCGGUAAUAC
rnacentral:rRNA from 1 species